UGGGGAUAUGGCGGAAUUGGUAGACGCAACAGACUUAAUUGAUAAAGAUAGAG
rnacentral:tRNA from 1 species